rnacentral:lncRNA from 1 species
UUAAAUUAUGAUAUUAUUAUGUCGAAUCUUUCCUUAGAUGUAUUCCUCAUUUAGUAUAUUUAGGCUUGUACAUUUGCUAAAUGAUCAAUGAAAUAAAGAUUCAUUCCAUAAAAAAUAAUAUAGUAUCAUAGCUCUAGGUUUCUUUUGUCUCAUUGAAUCUAACCCUUACAUCCAUGUUCGAUGUUUGCUUCUAUUGAUCAUCCGUUAACGGAGGUAGAGUCAUCUCCCAUUAGACACCACCGCCCCUUAGAUCUGCAAAUCCCCACCGCUGCUACACCUUAAUUUCCUUUGCCGCUCAAAAUCUGUCGCCAUCCAAACCCUAUUUGUCUUCUUCGUUUUCACCACCAUAUGGCGCCCCCAAUUCAUUUUUCAUUUAGUUUUGCUAAGCCUUUCAACUUCGAUCAGUUCGGUUUUUGUUCUAUUCACCUUCAGAUUUCGAAUUCGUUUAGUCCAAUUCCAACCUGCUCUGAUUUGGUUUCCACCUUUGGUUCCAAUUUGCUCCACUAUUGACCAGUUUCAAUUCAGAUUUGUACCGCAUAGCUCUGGUUUUCAUCUGUUUUGUCCCACAGAUCCAAUCUCGUUUCAAGAUCUGUUUAACUUCGUAUCUAUUUGAUCAUGAUCCAUCCGCCACAGAUCCAGCCAACCUUCCCCUCAUGUCAUUUUGUCAUUUCUCUAUGAAGCCCAGGCGUUCUUAUUUCGUUCUUCGUAGAUUCUGUUAUAGAUCUCUAUACGAGAAUCUAUAUGUUUUUAUCCCAAAAGUUCUUUGUGUGAGUUUGAAGCCUAGAAGUUCUUUGUGUUUGUUCUCUUAGGUUUCUGAUAUACCUAUUUGUUUCUUUUCUUAGCAAAUUCAAGUUCGUGAUUCGAACCUUGAGUUUGAGGGAGGGUAUUGAAGUAUUUUGAGUAUUUUGAGGAGAUAUUAUUUCGUCAUUCUUUCUUUAAAGUGUAUUCCUCGUUUAGUAUAUUUAGGCUUGUACAUUUGCUAAAUGAUAAAUGAAAUAGAGAUUCAUUCCACAAAAA